AGAUAAACUGAGAGACGAAGCAGCACGCACGCAGUCCAAACAAGUUUUCUGGAAUGGAGCAAGUUUGCACAGCAGAGAGCGCACACGAGAGAGAGAGAGUGCGCGAUCCCAGCUCAUGAAAGUAAAAAGAUAACGCGCAAUUGCAACAACAAAAGCUACAAACUUGACUACGUAUGUAGGCGCGCACGAGCGCAAGCGUUUGUCAGAAUGUGUUUAGCAACGUGUCAGAGCAUACGACGAUUCGACUUCGUAUUAGUUCGGCCAGCUGCCACGAAGGUAACGUUACGUUCAAUUUAACGUAGUGGGUGCGGUUGUGGUUGGCGUUGCGACGAAACGCAUUGACGUGAUUCAUAGACAAAAUGUCAUACACACAUACAUUCAUACAUAUGCAUAUAUGAACGGCGCGUCAAAUUGGAAGUGUUGAAGCGCGACUGUGUCUGAGGGCUGAGGCAAAGAAACUACGUCGAACUGCACUGGAGUUAGGCUGCAACGCAAAAUCAAAACAAAUUGCGUUUUAGACCAAUUUACAGUGCCUGCAAAACUGCUCUGACAUCAUGGGAUGUCCGCACCAACCCCAUUUUACUUGGAUUUAUGUAUUUCCAUUUAUUCUUUUCUUUUUGGCGUGAAUGAGUAAUAAGCUCUGCUUCAAAUGAUAUCAUGACCCAAAAGCGAACAUUGUGCGAUAGGGAGAGAGAAUAAAGAGGGAGAUGGCAAUAGACGCUGACAUAAUAUGUGAAUCGAGUUUGCUUUCGGGCAAUACACAAUAAAUAAAUAAAAUGAUAUUAAUAACAAUACAAA